rnacentral:rRNA from 1 species
UAUUGGUCAAUGGGCGCGAGCCUGAACCAGCCAAGUCGCGUGAGGGAAGACGGUCCUAUGGAUUGUAAACCUCUUUUGUCAGGGAACAAAGGCGGGGACUAGUCCCCGGAUGAGGGUACCUGAAGAAAAAGCAUCGGCUAACUCCGUGCCAGCAGCCGCGGUAAUACGGAGGAUGCGAGCGUUAUCCGGAUUUAUUGGGUUUAAAGGGUGCGCAGGCGGCCUGUUAAGUCAGCGGUAAAAGCCCGGGGCUCAACCCCGGCGAGCCGUUGAAACUGGCGGGCUGGAGUUGGAGAGAAGUACGCGGAAUGCGCGGUGUAGCGGUGAAAUGCUUAGAUAUCGCGCAGAACCCCGAUUGCGAAGGCAGCGUACCGGCUCCACACUGACGCUGAGGCACGAAAGCGUGGGUAUCG